CCUAAAAGGUUGGAAGGACACCCCGCAUGGGCAUGCUAUUCCCCCUUGUUUGUUUUUAAAUCACCACCCUGUUUGAGACAAUGUGUGUAUUGAUUGAAGCGGUCUUGGUAUUGGUCGGUAUCAACCCAUUUUGAUUGGGAUGCAUGAUUUGUAGGUCGUACCGGCCGAGUUAGAAUCGAUAUCGGUUGAUAUAGACUGGUUUUGAUCUCAUUUUGGUUGGGACAACCUGUUUUCAGUUGUUUUGGCGACUCGAGGUUGAUCUCUAUGUCGUUUUCUGGCCAAAAUGAUACUAUACUAGUACCGUCUCAUUCUGGCGGGGUUUCAAACUAUGGUUGGGAGUGUCUAACUAUGACGAUUAAUGAGGAGGAAAGCAAAAAAGACUAGAUACUGCAAUAUUCCUAAAAAAAAAUUGUUGCAUAUCUUGUAGAAGGAUUUCGAAGUCUUGAAUGUAUAUGAUGUUGAAGACUCCACAGUUAGAACAUACAUGUUAAGGAUCCCAGCAUAUUUACUUUUAGUUUGAGAUGCAAUGAAUUCCUUGUAAAUAUACUCUCAUAGCAUGUUGGGCCAUCUAAACAAUAUGAUAUGCAUUUGGCAAGCAUUUAACUUGACCAAUUUGGUCUCAUGCAAGGAAGAUCAAGUAAUGUGAUUUUCUUGGGGUAAUUAAUGAGGAGAUUUUGGCUGAAAAAAUAGGAAGUUAGGAAUGCUAGAUAUAGUUUUCAUUAACACGGAGGAAGCAUGUUGGUUCCAACAAGUGAGUUGGUAAAGUCACUUGGGCAUAGUGUCCAAUGACCUUGGUUCAAAUUCUGCCUGCACCCAAGUGGGUAAGUGGGGAUAACCCCUUCCUUUUGCUCAGAAAGAAUAAGACAUGGAAGAAGCAUAUGAAGAAUAUCAUUUGCAGUUCUUUGGUAGGAUAUGAGGAAGGUAUCUCAUAGUGCUACAUUUAUGUAAUCAUACAGAUGUAUAGCAUUGGAAAAACAAUUUGUAAAAUUGUAGCUUGAGGGAAUUUCUAGCGCAAAAAAUGGUGUAGAGAGGAGUGGGGUGUGUAUUCAGGAGGGGGGAUAGAGAAAGAGGUUGCCAUUCAUGCAAGAAGAGGACAUAAAGAGAGGGGCCAACCACCUAGCUAUGCACCAAAAGCCUUCCACAUCAUCCUGAUGCUCUAGCUAUGCACCAAAAGGCUUCCACAUCAUCCUGAUGCUCUAGCUAUGCACCAAAAGCCUUUGGUCACCUUAUUUUCCAUCUAAUUAUGACCCUUGAUUUCCUAUAUUUGGUGCUCCUCUUUUUAUGAUGAGCUAUAAUCAUCAUGUAAUCAAAUUAAUUGAGUCAUCAUGUGAUAGGCAUGUAAUGGUUUUAGCAGUGCCCCACACCAAAGUGGGCAAACACUGUACUAACCAUCUAGCCUUUUCCCAACUAUUUGGGUCCGUUUCAUGGAUCUUGGGUCCUCAUUGACCAAGUAUUCUUAUAUAGGGCCAUCUCUGAUGUUAUUUUAAGCUUGUCCAUAUCUUUCCUUACAAUGUCUAUCAAUGCUAAUCUUAGGUCUUCCUCUUCUUUUACUGUAACCUUCAACUUAAAUUAAAAUACCCCUCAUUACAUGUAACCAAAAAAUUUAUCCCACCUUCUUGUAAUCUGCUCACAUAUGCUUAUACCAUUUUAGUUGAUUUUUCGUUGCUCUGUCCUUAAUUUGUGUAGCUCCUGCAAUUUUUUUUAAUUUAUUCUGUUCUCAAUCUAUCCUUGUUAGGUUUACCACAUAUUCAUCUUAACAUUCUCAUUUUUGCAUCACUCAACUUAUUUUCAUGAACUCUCUUAGUUGUGUAGUAUUUCAAGCCAUAUAACAUUGCAGGCAAGGUAUGCUGUACCGGUACUGGUAGGCGUAUCGGUCGCCUACCGGAUUGGUACAGUACCGGUUCGGACUAGUUUAUACUAGUAUUGAACCGGCUAACAGCGUGCUGUAACCACAGAGUGGCAAAUGCCACUCUGUAGCAUUAAAUGCCAUAGAGCGGCAAUGCCACUCUUUGGCAAAUUGGAUGCCAUAGAGUGGCACGCUGCGGAAUGCCAUAGAGUGGCAUCCAGUUUGCAGGCCGAAUCGGACGGAACCAGGGUUCCCUCAGGUACGCUUUUAUACUAGCUGGUUCAGGCUGGUAUGAGCUCUGUACCACUCGGUUCCGGCCUCUUUGGGGCCAGAACCGUUUUUUAUUGCGGAACCGGACCGGUCAGAGACCGGACUAGUCCGGUACUGACCGGUUCAACAUACCAUGAUUGUAGGUCUUUUGUUGUUCUAUAUAAUUUUUCUUCAAGUCUCCAUGGUGUGCAUCAAUCACAACCCUUCAAGACUCCCCAGUUAGAACACAUGUUAAGGAUCCCAGCAUAUUUACUUUUAGUUUGAGAUGCAAUGAACUCCUUGUAAAUAUACUCUAAUAGCAUGUGGGCCAUCUAAACAAUAUGAUAUGCAUUUGGCAAGCAUUUAACUUGACCAAUUUGGUCUCAUGCAAGGAAGAUCAAGUAAUGUGAGGAUGACGUCAAGUCAUCAUGCCCCUUAUGCCGAGGAAGUUAGGAACGCUAGAUAUAGUUUUCAUUAACACGGAGGAAGCAUGUUGGUACCAACAAGUGAGUUGGUAAAGUCACUUGGGCAUAGUGUCCAAUGACCUUGGUUCAAAUCUGCCUGCACCCAAGUGGGUAAGUGGGGAUAACCCCUUCCUUUUGCUCAGAAAGAAUAAGACAUGGAAGAAGCAUAUGAAGAAUAUCAUUUGCAGUUCUUUUGGUAGGAUAUGAGGAAGGUAUCUCAUAGUGCUACAUUUAUGUAAUCAUACAGAUGUAUAGCAUUGGAAAAACAAUUUGUAAAAUUGUAGCUUGAGGGAAUUUCUAGCACGAAAAAUGGUGAAGAGAGGAGUGGGGUGUGUAUUCAGGAGGGGGGAUAGAGAAAGAGGGUGCCAUUCAUGCAAGAAGAGGACAUAAAGAGAGGGGCCAACCACCUAGCUAUGCACCAAAAGCCUUCCGCAUCAUCCUGAUGCUCUAGCUAUGCACCAAAAGCCUUUGGUCACCUUAUUUUCCAUCUAAUUAUGACCCUUGAUUUCCUAUAUUUGGUGCUCCUCUUUUUAUGAUGAGCUAUAGUCAUCAUGUAAUCAAAUUAAUUGAGUCAUCAUGUGAUAGGCAUGUAAUGGUUUUAGCAGUGCCCCACACCAAAGUGGGCAAACACUGUAACUAACCAUCUAGCCUUUUCCCAACUAUUUGGGUCAGUUUCAUGGAUCUUGGGUCUUCAUUGACUAAGUAUUCUUAUAUAGGGCCAUCUCUGAUGUUAUUUUAAGCUUGUCCAUUUCUUUCCUCACAAUGUCUAUCAAUGCUAAUCUUAGGGUCUUCCCCUUCUUUUACUGUAACCUUCAACUUAAAUUAAAACACCCCUCAUUACAUGUAACCAAAAAAAGUAUCCCACCUUCUUGUAAUCUGCUCACAUAUGCUUAUACCAUUUUAGUUGAUUUUUCGUUGCUCUGUCCUUAAUUUGUGUAGCUCCUGCAUUUUUUUUUAAUUUAUUCUCUUCUCAAUCUAUCCUUGUUAGGUUUACCACACAUUCAUCUCAACAUUCUCAUUUUUGCAUCACUCAACUUAUUUUCAUGAACUCUCUUAGUUGUGUAGUAUUUCAAGCCAUAUAACAUUGCAGGCAAGGUAUGCUGUACCGGUACCGGUAGGCGU
rnacentral:lncRNA from 1 species